UACGGGGGGGGCAAGCGUUGUUCGGAAUUACUGGGCGUAAAGGGCUCGUAGGCGGCCAACUAAGUCAGACGUGAAAUCCCUCGGCUUAACCGGGGAACUGCAUCCGAAACUGCGAGGCUCGAGUAUGGAAGAGGGUCGCAGAAUUCCCGGUGUAGAGGUGAAAUUCGUAGAUAUCGGGAGGAAUACCAGUGGCGAAGGCGGCGACCUGGGCCAAUACUGACGCUGAGGUGCGAAAGCGUAGGGAGCAAACAGG
rnacentral:rRNA from 1 species